AUUGAACGCUGGCGGCAUGCCUAACACAUGCAAGUCGAACGGCAGCAUGAUAGGAGCUUGCUCUUAUUGAUGGCGAGUGGCGGACGGGUGAGUAAUAUGUAGGAAUCUACCUAGAGGUGCGGGAUAACUUAGGGAAACUUAAGCUAAUACCACAUAAGCCCCAAGGGGGAAAGCAGGGGAUCUUCGGACCUUGCGCCUUAUGAUGAGCCUACAUCGGAUUAGCUUGUUGGUGGGGUAAAGGCCUACCAAGGCGACGAUCCGUAGCUGGUCUGAGAGGACGACCAGCCACACUGGGACUGAGACACGGCCCAGACUCCUACGGGAGGCAGCAGUGGGGAAUUUUGGACAAUGGGCGCAAGCCUGAUCCAGCCAUGCCGCGUGCAGGAAGAAGGCCUUCGGGUUGUAAACUGCUUUUGUCAGGGAAGAAAAGUUCCGGGCUAAUGCCCCGGAGCGAUGACGGUACCUGAAGAAUAAGCACCGGCUAACUACGUGCCAGCCGCCGCAGUAA
rnacentral:rRNA from 1 species